GGCAGGGUGCCCGCCCGACUUCCCAGCUGCCCCGUGCGGCCCGGGCAUGCCCAGUGUGGGCGCAGCCCCGGCUCUCCGAGCGCCGGGGCGGAGCGGGCAGCCGGGCGCGGAGCAGGCGAACCGAACCUCGGUGGGCGAGCGCCGGGGCUGGAGCCGCGGGGGUCGGUGGCGGGGCCUUCCAUGAUGAGUGAUUUGGGGGCACUUCCCUCUCUCUGUAAUUGAUAGUCUGGGCAGUGAAGAGAUGGCUGACAGUGUCAAAACCUUUCUGCAGGACCUUGGCAGGGGAAUCAAAGACUCCAUCUGGGGCAUCUGUACCAUCUCAAAGCUAGAUGCUCGGAUCCAGCAGAAGAGAGAGGAGCAGCGUCGAAGGAGGGCAAGUAGCCUCUUGGCCCAGAGGAGAGCCCAGAGUGUAGAGCGGAAGCAAGAGAGUGAGCCACGUAUUGUUAGUAGAAUUUUCCAGUGCUGUGCUUGGAAUGGUGGAGUAUUCUGGUUCAGUCUCCUCUUGUUUUACCGAGUGUUUAUUCCUGUGCUUCAAUCAGUAACAGCCCGGGUUAUUGGUGAUCCGUCACUACAUGGAGAUGUUUGGUCAUGGCUGGAAUUCUUCCUCACAUCAAUUUUCAGUGCUCUUUGGGUGCUGCCCCUGUUUGUGCUUAGCAAAGUUGUGAAUGCCAUUUGGUUCCAAGAUAUAGCUGACUUGGCAUUUGAGGUAUCAGGGAGGAAACCUCAUCCAUUCCCCAGUGUCAGCAAAAUAAUUGCUGACAUGCUCUUCAACCUUUUGCUACAGGCACUUUUCCUUAUUCAGGGGAUGUUUGUGAGUCUCUUCCCCAUCCAUCUUGUGGGUCAGCUGGUUAGUUUGCUGCAUAUGUCUCUUCUCUACUCACUCUACUGCUUUGAGUACCGUUGGUUCAA
rnacentral:lncRNA from 1 species